rnacentral:lncRNA from 1 species
UUUAAGGAAUGGGAUAGCCUCUUCCCCGGGCCUUCCUUGCUUUGCCUUCUGACCCCAAGGAGCUAAAGCUGCACAAGGCUGAGGAAUGAUGGGGAGGAGAUAGAGGGCGCAGCCAGUGUGAGAAGUUCCCUCCAUCUCCUCUGCACCCAUGUCCCGCAGGCGGGAGCGCUCCAAGGUGCCCUACAUAGUCCGGCAGUGCAUAGAAGAGGUGGAGAAGAGGGGCAUCGAGGAGGUUGGCAUCUACAGGAUAUCAGGGGUGGCCACGGACAUCCAGGCCCUGAAGGCUGUCUUUGAUGCCAAUAACAAGGAUAUCCUACUGAUGCUGAGUGACAUGGACAUCAACGCUAUUGCUGGUACCCUCAAGCUCUACUUUCGGGAGCUG